rnacentral:tRNA from 1 species
GCGCCCGUAGCUCAGUGGAUAGAGUGUCAGUCUCCGGAACUGAAAGUCGUAGGUUCGACUCCUACCGGGCGUACCA